GGUGCUUGCUCGGAGAUUCCGCAACCCCUUAGUGGUUUACUGGUGAGUAACCCCUGGAUAACCUGCCCUUCAUUGGGGGAUAACAUUUGUAAAACAGAUGCUAAUACCCAUAAAUCCAAUAACCGCCUGGUUCUUGGACUAAAGAUGGCGUAAGCUAUUUCUUUUGGAUGGACCCGCGGCGUAUUAGCUUGUUGGUGAGGUAAUGGCUCACCAAGGCCAUGAUACUUAGCCGAACUGAGAGGUUGAUCGGCCACCUUGGGACUGAGACACGGCCCAAACUCCUACGGGAGGCAGCCCUAAGGAAUCUUCCACAAUGGACGCAAGUGUGAUGGACCAACGCCGCGUGAGUGAAGAAGGCUUUCGGGUCGUAAAACUCUGUUGUUGGAGAAGAAUGGUCGGUAGAGCCACUGGUGUCAGCCUGACGGUAUCCAACCAGAAAGCCACGGCUAACUACGUGCCAGCAGCCGCGGUAAUACGUAUGUGGCAAGCGUUAUCCCGAUUUAUUGGGCGCAAAGCGAGUUCACGUGGAUUUUUAACUCUGAGGUGAAAGCCCUCGGCUUAACCGAAGAAACGCAUCCGAAACUGGGAAACUUGGGUGCACAACAGGACAGUGGAACUCCAUGUGUAGCGGUGAAAUGCCCCGAUAUAUGGAAAAACACCCCUGGCCAAGGCUGUUGACUGGUCGCAACUGAAGCUAAAGAUCCAAGCCUUGGCAGG
rnacentral:rRNA from 1 species